GCGUUAUCCGGAUUCACUGGGUUUAAAGGGUGCGUAGGAGGGCAGGUAAGUCAGUGGUGAAAUCUUCGAGCUUAACUCGGAAACUGCCGUUGAUACUAUCUGUCUUGAAUACCGUGGAGAUGAGCGGAAUAUGUCAUGUAGCGGUGAAAUGCUUAGAUAUGACAUAGAACACCAAUUGCGAAGGCAGCUCGUUACACGAAUAUUGACUCUGAGGCACGAAAGCGUG
rnacentral:rRNA from 1 species